rnacentral:rRNA from 1 species
CCUACGGGGGGCUGCAGUUUCGAAUCAUUCACAAUGGGCGAAAGCCUGAUGGUGCGACGCCGCGUGAGGGAUGAAGGUCUUCGGAUUGUAAACCACUGUCGUAGGGGAGGAAGGCCGCGUGAAGAACGCGGUUUGACCGAUCCUAGGAGGAAGUCCAGGCUAACCUCGUGCCAGCAGCCGCGGUAAUACGAGGAGGACAAACGUUAUUCGGAUUUACUGGGCUUAAAGCGUGCGUAGGCGGCUCAGAAAGUUGGGUGUGAAAGCCCUCGGCUCAACCGAGGAAUUGCGCUCAAAACUACUGAGCUUGAGUGAGAUAGGGGAGAGCGGAACUGAUGGUGGAGCGGUGAAAUGCGUUGAUAUCAUCAGGAACACCGGUGGCGAAGGCGGCUCUCUGGAUCUUUACUGACGCUGAGGCACGAAAGCUAGGGGAGCAAACGGGAUUAGAUACCCUAGUAGUC